rnacentral:misc_RNA from 1 species
GCAAACUUGGUCAUUUAGAGGAAGUAAAAGUCGUAACAAGGUUUCCGUAGGUGAACCUGCGGAAGGAUCAUUAGUGAAUAAACAAGUGUGGGUUGUGCUGACCUUCUGGUAUGUGCACGCCUGCCAAUGUUUUAUUUCCUUCUUCCCACCUGUGCAUUUUUUGUAGGCCAUGUAUGCUAUGUUCAGGCCUUCUAAGGCUUGGUUGAAGGGGUUGCUUGUUUGUAAAGACAGGCUCCUCUUGGGUAUGCAGGGUCUAUGUUUUAUACCAACUCCAGUUGAAUGUAACAGAAUGUGUACUGGGCCCUUUGGCCUUUAAACCAUAAUACAACUUUCAACAACGGAUCUCUUGGCUCUCGCAUCGAUGAAGAACGCAGC